rfam:Pyrococcus furiosus DSM 3638, complete genome.
UGAGAUGAUGAACUCGGCAGGUCCUGAAGGAUGAUGAGGAUCUUGAGUGCUGAUCA